rnacentral:rRNA from 1 species
UUACGGUCAAAUCACGCUGAAAACACCGGUUCUCGUUCGAUCAACGAAGUUAAGCAUCGUAGAGCCAGGUCAGUACUUAGAUGGGGGACCGCUUGGGAACACCUGGUACUGUAAG